rnacentral:rRNA from 1 species
GGUAGCAUAAUCAUUUGUCUUUUAAAUGGGGACUUGUAUGAAUGGAUUGACGAGAAUGAAGCUGUUUCUAUUUUAUUUAUAAAAAUUAAUUUUUAAGUGAAAAAGCUUAAAUUGGGAAAAAAGACAAAAAGACCCUAUAGAGCUUUACUUGUGACUUUAAUAAGGGAAAAAGUUUAGUUGGGGCGACUACGAGAUACAAAACACUCGAUAAUAAAAAGGAAUCCUAUUAUGAUCCUAAUAAGAUUAGAAGAAAUAGUUACCUUAGGGAUAACAGGCUAAUAAUUCUUGAGAGUUCAAAUUGACAGAAGAGAUUGGCACCUCGAUGUUGGCUUAAGAUUUCCUUUUAAUGCAGAA